rnacentral:misc_RNA from 1 species
GGAGGGAUCAUUAAGGCUUAAAGCGAGAACGUCGCCUCCUCACACGAGGCGACUGUCACACCGUGUAUGGUUGAAGUCCAAACAUCAAUAACAGUAUUCCACGUGAGAUCCACGCUAGUGUCUCUGGACGCUGGCAAGGACAGUCAUUUCUUACUGAGCUUCCGCGUUAGCACCUCGGUGCUUUGACGUGAGGACUCGAGUUAAAAUGUGACCACGACCCUCUGCGAUGGAUGACUUGGAUUCGAGAACGUUGAAGAGCGCAGCGAAGCGCGAUAGUCGAUGCGAUUUGCAGAACAUGUGAUGCAUUAGACCCUUGAACGCAAUGCGCCUGGGAUACUUGUAUCCACAGGCGUGCUUGGUUGAGUACCAGCGAGAUUACAUCAACACCACUUAAGUGCGGUGUACAGGAUAUGAGGGUGCAGGCUUUCACUGCUCCCUUGAAUUGCAGAAGCGACAGCGGCCAGUCUUCAGGUGAUGAGUGCGAGAAUGUCUCAGCGAUAUAACACUGGACAUAGUAUUGCUCUCGUUCUACACUAGCUGCUCGCGUUAUCGACUGGCCUCUUUUCGAAGGGCCAUUCAAUUUGGGCCGUCGUGCACUCCACGGCGUGAGCUCAACACACCUCGCGAUUUACCUGGUCUCAACUCAAGCACGAUUACCCGCUGGACUUAAGCAUAUCAUUCAGCGGAGGAAAAGAAAACAACAGUGAUUCCCCCAGUAACUGCGAGUGAAGAGGGAAAAGCCCAGGGUGAAUCAGCGUAGCAAGCUCUGCGCGUGAGUUGUGCCCUUAAGCUUACUGACGGUGCUCAGUGCUCGCCUAAGUUGCCUGGAAAGGUACGCCUCAGAAGGUGAUAGCCCUGUGAGGCGAGCGCAAGAAUUGGGUACCACGAUGUACAGCGAAGAGUCGCACUGUUUGGGAGUACAGUGCAAAGUCGCAGGUAAGUCCCUGCGAAGGCUAAAUACGUCUCGAAUACCGAUAGCGAACAAGUACCGCGAGGGAAAGUUGCAAAGAACUCUGAAAAGAGAGUUAAAAGUACCUGAAAUCGUUGAGGGGGAACCAGUUGUCGAGUAUCCUGUGUAGGAAGGCUGAAUCACCAUGCUGGGUGUUGAGGUUCAGUUGCGACCAAGGGUUAACUCACUUGGGGACUGCGAUUGAACUCGAGGCACUUAGCGUGGGCAUUUCAGCCUACUCCUCAUCCAUUAUCUCUAAGGCAUGAGUGCGCGUGAGUGGUACGACGCUGCUGGCUUGCCAGCAGAGUUCAAGUCUGCCUGCGCUGCAUCUCGUGUCGUUGAGUGGUGUAAUGCCUGAAGAGUGGCCCUGCGCAGCUGCGGAUGCCUAGAUUGUGGGUAUCUAUGUGGAUCCUAGAUCUACGUGGGUACUACGUGGUCUCGUGGUGUUCGCACUGCCCUACUCUUGUUGAUUAAUGGGAAGGUCGAUAACUGACCCGUCUUGAAACACGGACCAAGGAGUCUAACAUGCAUGCGAGUCUAAGGGUGUUGAAACCUCGAGGCGUAGCGAACGCGAGUAUAAGUGGGAACGUUAGGAGAAAUCGUAGCGAGCACCACUGGCCUGCCUCCUAUCGCUGGAGGACAGAGUUGGAGCAUGCCUGUUAGGACCCGAAAGAUUGCGAACUUUGCUUGCAUAGGGUGAAGCCAGGCGAAAGUCUGGUGGAGGCUCGUAGUCGUACUGACGUGAAAAUCGUUGAUCAAAUGUGAGUAAAGCGGCGAAAGACCAAUCGAGCAGUCUAGUAGCUGGUUCCUGU